AGAGAUGGCAUCAAAGGUGGCCUUGGU
rnacentral:piRNA from 1 species